rnacentral:rRNA from 1 species
UUCGCAAUGCCCGAAAGGGUGACGAAGCGACGCCGCGUGGGUGAGGAAGGCCUUCGGGUUGUAAAGCCCUGUCAGGAGUUAAGAAAUAUAAGUGCGCUAAUAUCGCAUUUAUUUGACGAAGGCUCCAAAGGAAGCCACGGCUAACUCUGUGCCAGCAGCCGCGGUAAUACAGAGGUGGCAAGCGUUGUUCGGAAUUAUUGGGCGUAAAGAGCACGUAGGUGGGUUUGUAAGUCAGAUGUGAAAGCCUUCUGUUCAACGGAAGAAUUGCAUCUGAAACUACAAGUCUUGAGUGUAGGAGGGGAGAAUGGAACUUCUGGUGGAGCGGUGAAAUGCGUAGAUAUCAGAAGGAACGUCGGCGGCGAAAGCGACUCUCUGGCCUAUUACUGACACUGAGUGUGCGAAAGUUAGGGGAGCAAACGGGAUUAGAUACCCCGGUAGUCCUAACCGUAAACGAUGGGCACUAAGUAGAGGGGUUUU